CAGCAGCCGCGGGAAUACGUAGGGUGCAAGCGUUAAUCGGAAUUACUGGGCGUAAAGCGUGCGCAGGCGGUUAUAUAAGUCAGAUGUGAAAUCCCCGGGCUCAACCUGGGAACCGCAUUUGAGACUGUAUGGCUAGAGUGUGUCAGAGGGGGGUAGAAUUCCACGUGUAGCAGUGAAAUGCGUAGAUAUGUGGAGGAAUACCGAUGGCGAAGGCAGCCCCCUGGGAUAACACUGACGCUCAUGCACGGAAGCGUGGGGAGCAAACAGGAUUAGAUACCCGUGUAGUCCCUGUCUCUUAUAC
rnacentral:rRNA from 1 species